rfam:Helianthus annuus linkage group 9, whole genome shotgun sequence.
AGCUCUAUGAUCGAAUGCCAUUUAGGCAAUAUACGCUAUUCCGAUUAUUAACCUGACGGAAAAUAUAUUUGAAUGAGAGCU